rnacentral:rRNA from 1 species
UAGGGAAUCUUCCGCAAUGGACGAAAGUCUGACGGAGCGACGCCGCGUGAGCGAUGAAGGUCUUCGGAUCGUAAAGCUCUGUUGUUAGGGAAGAACAAGUAUCGUUCGAAUAGGGCGGUACCUUGACGGUACCUAACCAGAAAGCCACGGCUAACUACGUG